UCCGAAGUGUAGUGGCUAUCACGUUCACCUAACACGCAAAAGGUCCUGAGUUCGAAACCCAGCUGCAAAA